CCACUUUGAGCUCUGGUACGGAGCGACUGAGUGUCCACUCCUGACUGUUGACAAAGGCAUCUUCAAUUGCAAUUAC